UCAGAACGUUAAAGCAGAGGAAGGCUGCCCCUUCUUGCUCUCGCGCGUAGGAGACGUAGCAGCGCAGCCGUUUUUGGCCGACAAGACAGGACAGCAUCCUACCUCCGGGGGCGGCAAAGGGGCCCGUGGCGGGUCCUGGCACGCGUGUCUUCUCUGGUCUUUGGACCUGGGGCAGAGGACGCAGAGCAGAGGCCAGCGGAGGCUGCGGGCCAGCAGGCCCUCUCCGGGAUGCCAGAACGAGCCUCGGACGCGGGCCCGCGGGGUGUAUUUUGGGAGGCCAGCCUCGGGCCGCCGCUGAGAGGGCUGCAGGCUGGCGUCACGGAGACACCACCGGAAGGAAGGCCUGAGAGUUCUGGAGCCCAGCGCCAAGGGCCCAGCCCCGGAAGAGCAGCCGGGCUGCAGCGAGCACUGCUCUCGGGUAAGACGGCUCACGUGCCGAGGACCCUCUCAGCUCUGGGACGCCUCGGGCUCCACCGUCAGAACUGGCCAGACGUGCAGUGCAGGUGAAAGACCAAGCAGGUGUGGGUUCCUACCUCGUGGCGCCUAGAGGAACAGACAGACAACAAAGACACGCAAAACGAAGCGACUAGAACUGUGAUAAUAUGGCCUGUCUAGAGGACAAGCCUCGCCUGAAGCUUUGACUCAAAGCCAGAUGACCCACAUUGGCCUGCUGGCCACACGGCCCACAGCCUGGCCCAGGGGGCUGCUAGCUUGUGUGUGCCUCCUGAGUUUCAGCUUGUUACCUGAAAAACCACACAGAACAACAACAGUAAGACAGACAAGGUGCCAAGGUCCACGUGAGGUCAGACGGAGUGUGUAAAGGAGUUUCUGGACCCCAGACCUGUGCCUCUACAGGACCUGUGCACAGGCGUCAGCCCCAGAAACGUGAGGGUAAAACACGGUCGCUCACGGCAUCUGCACACAGGACGGAGCAGUCACCCACCACCUGCCACGGUGUGGACGCAAGACGGAGCGGAGUUGCCAGCCACCCGCCACGGUGUGGACGCAAGACGGAGCAGAGUCACCCACUAUGUGCCACAGUAUAGAGUCACUGAAUA
rnacentral:lncRNA from 1 species